AAUUAAAUGGCCCAUUCAAGUUCAAAUUGUUAUUGGGCUUAUGUAUGAAAUUUAUUGUGUGUCGUUUAAGCUUCACAAGAGUAUUCAACAACGCCGCGCCGUUUUGCAACCUGUGUUCAUCAAUAAAUCACCGACUCAAUUCGUCCCUUCCACUUCCAAUCGACCUCGGGUUCUCAAGAAUUCAAUGCUUUCUAUUUUCCCAUUCUUGAUUCAUCUCAUAUUCAAUGCAUUUGGAUGCAUCUUUCCAUCGAUUCACUUUAGCUGUCAUCAAUGGUUUAUCUUUUCCCAAACCCGGGUCAGCACCUCAUCAAUAUCAUCUAUUGGAUUUCCAGUUUGUGACAGGUUUCAACAAUGGCUUCUGUAGGACAAAGCUUUGCAAAGGAGUCGUAGGACAAAACUUUAUGAACUUGAAUUUUUACUAUUUUAUAAAAAAAUUCCUAUUUUAAAGAGUAAAAAUCUCUACUUGAUGAUUUUUUCAAUUUAUGUUGAUGUUCAGUCUCUGAUUAUUACUCUUAGUUACAUGCAUGCUUUGACCAUAACUCUUUUGGUAGGAUAAAUUGAGAAAUAGUGUAUGGGUUUAAUAUAUCUUUAUGUCAAAAAAAUUAUUUUUAUAUUUUAGGUUGAUCUAUAUCAAUCUUAUUUUCUAGAGAUGGAAGAUUUCUUAUGUGAUUGUUUUACAAUGUGUUUGAUGCAUGAAAUUUCAGGUUCUUACCAAUGGUAUUGAAGUGAAGCUGCAUAGGAAUGCUCUUAGUUUGAUUGAACCACCUACUGGUAAUGGGGUAGAUGAUGAUCUUGAAUUUUAGAAUACUCAGUGGCAUGGAUUAGAUAUGGCAAAUGGACGAGUUGCAAGAACUAGAAAGAUGGAAUUGUUCGCUUGCAUGCACAAUACUCAUGCAUGGUGAUAUAAUAUUCUCAAUUGUUCCAUCAGGUGGAUGUCUCUUGGAAAUCAAUUGAAUGGUGUGAGGUUAGUUGAUGAAGGAUUACAGGCAAGAUUUAAGGCAACUUAUCUGGAUGUGGCUAUGUAGCCAGCAUCACCUCCCCGAACUUCGGCUAUCGAGUUCGACUCAAGUGUUGCUGCUCAAACAAGCCCAGAAUCGAAGUCCACUAUAACACAAUUUACCGAGCUUGCAGCCCCAACAGCUAUCUCUGCUUCAGUGAAGAAGGAA